AACGAACGCUGGCGGCAUGCCUAACACAUGCAAGUCGAACGAGACCUUCGGGUCUAGUGGCGCACGGGUGCGUAACGCGUGGGAACCUGCCCUUAGGUUCGGAAUAACUUCCCGAAAGGGGUGCUAAUACCGGAUAAUGUCUUCGGACCAAUGAUUUAUCGCCUUUGGAUGGGCCCGCGUUGGAUUAGCUAGUUGGUAGGGUAAAAGCCUACCAAGGCGACGAUCCAUAGCUGGUCUGAGAGGAUGGUCAGCCACACUGGGACUGAGACACGGCCCAGACUCCUACGGGAGGCAGCAGUGGGGAAUAUUGGACAAUGGGCGAAAGCCUGAUCCAGCAAUGCCGCGUGAGUGAUGAAGGCCUUAGGGUUGUAAAGCUCUUUUACCCGGGAUGAUAAUGACAGUACCGGGAGAAUAAGCGCCGGCUAACUCCGUG
rnacentral:rRNA from 1 species